UGGCGGACGGUGAGUAAUGUCUGGGAAACUGCCCGAUGGAGGGGGAUAACUACUGGAAACGGUAGCUAAUACCGCAUAACGUCGCAAGACCAAAGAGGGGGACCUUCGGGCCUCUUGCCAUCGGAUGUGCCCAGAUGGGAUUAGCUAGUAGGUGGGGUAACGGCUCACCUAGGCGACGAUCCCUAGCUGGUCUGAGAGGAUGACCAGCCACACUGGAACUGAGACACGGUCCAG
rnacentral:rRNA from 1 species